UCUCCUGUCUUAUUUUCCACAGAAACGGAAUCUCCUUUUGGCUUUCCAAGCAGCCGAGAGCGUCGGCAUCAAACCCAGCCUAGAGCUCAGCGAGAUCAUGUACACAGACCGGCCAGACUGGCAGAGCGUGAUGCAGUACGUGGGUCAGAUUUACAAGUAUUUUGAGACUUGAGGAGCCCCAGCGGACAGAGGCGGGGGACAGCAUCCGAACACACACCACGCAAAGCACUCGAUCACUUUAGAAGAUAUACCCCCUAUCCAACCACUGCCAAAUUUCCUUCCCCCCCCCCCAACUUCUAUACAAAGUCCGAUGGAUAUUUCUUGAAACCCUGUAAAAGAACUGGUCGCAUUUAACUCUGAGCUGCGCCGGGCAUAUUUCUCUCGGCUCGGGGCCUCCGUGAGAACAUUUUACACACGCACACAAAACAGUGCCAAAUAGACUCUAGUCACAAAGGUCUCCGUUGCGGGUCCGGAUAGAUGCCACAUGUGCCCCUUGCCAGUCUCCUGGGAGACGCUGGUCUUUUUUUGGUCGACUGCCGUAAGAACUAUUACGGCAAUUUGGUUUCUCCGAGCUGCAAACACUUUUGACGGACUCCCACCUACUGGCUUCCCCUCCGCGCAGAGAGUCUCGUAAACAUGAUGUUUUCUUCAUCCUCAAAAUGGCUGGCGACAGAUAGGCGUGUAUGUUCCCCUCACCCAAAAAAAAAAA